GACGAACGCUGGCGGCGUGCUUAACACAUGCAAGUCGAACGGAAAGGCCCUGCUUUUGUGGGUUGCUCGAUUGGCGAACGGGUGAGUAACACGUUAGUAACCUGCCCUUUACUUUGGGAUAACUUCAGGAAACUUGGGCUAAUACCUGAUAGGAUCUCCUGCUGCAUUGUGGGGGUUGGAAAUUUUCGGCGGUUGGGGAUGGACUCGCGGCUUAUCAGCUUGUUGGUGGGGUAGUGGCUUACCAAGGCUUUGACGGGUAGCCGGCCUGAGAGGGUGACCGGCAACAAUGGGACUGAGAUAGGGACCAGAAUGCUACGGGAGGCAGCAGUGGGGAAUAUUGCAAAAUGGGCGGAAGCCUGAUGCAGAAACGCCGCGUGCGGGAUGACGGCCUUCGGGUUGUAAACCGAUUUAGAAUGUGACGAAGCGUGAGUGACGGUAAUGGGUAAAGAAGCACCGGCUAACUACGUG
rnacentral:rRNA from 1 species